AGGACGGACGCUGGCGGCGUGCUUAACACAUGCAAGUCGAGCGGAAAGGCCCUUCGGGGUACUCGAGCGGCGAACGGGUGAGUAACACGUGAGCAACCUGCCCCUGGCUCUGGGAUAGCCUCCGGAAACGGGGAUUAAUACCGGACAUGACCCUUGACCGCAUGGUUGGGGGUGGAAAGUUUUUCGGCCAGGGUGGGCUCGCGGCCUAUCAGCUUGGUUGGGGGGGUGACGGCCCACCAAGGCGACGACGGUAGCC
rnacentral:rRNA from 1 species